rnacentral:lncRNA from 1 species
UAAAUCAUGAUGAGACUAGGUAAUUCCUUUUGAGUUUUCUUUUGAUAAAUAGUUUUUGUACAAAACUCAAUAGUUUCUUCUUUGAUGUACUGUUUAACGAUCGAAGCUUCCAGAUGGUGAUGAUUAUUUGUAUACCCUUUAAUGAUCUUCAUCAUAUGCAGGAAAGUAACUGAUUAUGAAAAACAACAUGGAACACAUUAAAGUUAUUACUCGUAUACGCAUCAUCAAC